GGGUACGGUUGGAACGACCGCUAAUACCGCAUAUGCCGAGAGGUGAAAGGAUUUAUUGCCUGAGGAUGAGCUCGCGUCGGAUUAGCUAGUUGGUGGGGUAAGAGCCUACCAAGGCGACGAUCCGUAGCUGGUCUGAGAGGAUGACCAGCCACACUGGGACUGAGACACGGCCCAGACUCCUACGGGAGGCAGCAGUGGGGAAUUUUCCGCAAUGGGCGCAAGCCUGACGGAGCAAGACCGCGUGAGGGAAGACGGUCUGUGGAUUGUAAACCUCUUUUGAUAGGGAAGAAGGACUGACGGUACCUAUCGAAUCAGCCUCGGCUAACUCCGUGCCAGCAGCCGCGGUAAUACGGAGGAGGCAAGCGUUAUCCGGAAUUAUUGGGCGUAAAGCGUCCGUAGGUGGUUGGUCAAGUCAGCUGUUAAAGCGCGGAGCUUAACUCCGUAAGGGCAGUUGAAACUGGUCAGCUAGAGUGCGAUAGGGGCAAGGGGAAUUCCCAGUGUAGCGGUGAAAUGCGUAGAUAUUGGGAAGAACACCGGUGGCGAAAGCGCCUUGCUGGGUCUGCACUGACACUGAGGGACGAAAGCUAGGGGAGCGAAAGGGAUUA
rnacentral:rRNA from 1 species